rnacentral:lncRNA from 1 species
CGGCAUGUCGAUGAUGAAGGCGUAGGAAUUCGGGUACUCUUUGACAUCCGCCAGCGUAGCAGCCAUAGCCUUGGCGUCGUGGACGUAGGUGCGAGUAGGUGAGCUGACUGAUUUGUCGGAGCCGUCGGCGGCGUCAAGCAUGUGUUGGAGGGCUGAGAAGAGUGGAGAAUCGAGGCCCAUCAUUCUCAAAUCCAUAUUGGGUUUCAGAGAUUUGUUGCUGAAAAAUGUGCAAGUGCUUGAAUGUUUGGAGAAUUAAGAGGUGGUGGGGUGGAUUUUAUAGGGGAGAGAGUUGGGAAACAGAGGAAAGUUCUGGAAAGAAUGAGAAGGGGAAGAAUUGGGAGCUUCUGGGAGGUUCGUGGAUUUUUCAACAACGGUACGGAAAUGUUAUGGAAGCUUCCUUUAAACAACUAAAAUGCCCUUUUUGUAGGUGGGGCAUGGUUUCAUACGAGUGUGUAAAAAGAAUCAAAAUGUCUUGUAAUACUUAAAAAUUAUUUUUAUUAAAAAAGAAAAAAAAAUGAAGAGUUUAACAAAUUUUAAAAAAUAGUUUUUAAAAAAUUAUACAAAACAAUUAUUAGACAAAAAAAUUUACUAAAAUUAAUUUGUAUAGAAAACUUUUAAUGAAGAUCACUCUUAAACAAAAUCAAUACUUGCAUGAAAAGUUAUUGUUUCUUUUUUAAAUCCAAAUUUUUUAUACAUAUUUAACUAAUUUAAAAGAAAAAAUUUAUAAUUUAUUCUUUAAAUUAAAAUAAAAAGAGGUAACAUUAUUUUAAAUAGUUAAAAUAAAAAUUGAUUUUCCUUUUCAUUGUUUUGAUAUUGGUGGGUAUUUAUGAUGUCAUUAUUAUAAAUUUCUUUGUACUUGAUUUGAUGAAUGCUCUUCACUUUCCUUCCAAUUUCUUCGAUCACUCUUGAAUCUUGGAAAAACUUUAUAAUUUUAAGGGUAAUGUUUCUUAGGAAGAUCAGUUACCCAUCUUCCCUAAACAUACAAUGAAGCUUCCAAACAGAAGAGAGAUACACCGAAGAAGAAGAGAAACAGAGCAGAAGGCUUUCAUUGGUACUCAAAACUACAUAUUUAUAAAGAAAUCAUCAGAUUCUGUGUAGAAGCCAAUGACCCAAAUUCAAACCCACACCAAAUUCACACUAACUCCGAUCAAACAAGCUUAUCAGCGAUUAUCCAUUAACAAAUCAUGAACAUUUAAGCCAUCUUAACCUCAAUGGUCCUGGGCUUCUUGGGCGCCGGCGGUGGGAGCUUCUCAACUGUGACGGUCAACACUCCAUCUUGACAAACCGCGGAGAUCUUAUCAGUAUCCGCAUUCUCCGGCAAAGCAAACUUCCUCAUAAACUUCCCCACCCUCCUCUCCAUUAUCACGUGCUUGGCGUCUUCCUUCUCUUCCUCGCGCUUCCUCUCUCCGCUGAUCACCAGCACAUUGUCGUCCUCCACCUGAACCUUGAUGUCGCCGGAUUUCAGCCCCGGCAUGUCGACGAUGAAGGUGAAGGAAUUCGGGUACUCCUUGACGUCCACCGGCGUAGCCGCCAUGGCCUUGGCGUCGCGGACGUAGGUGCGAGUGGGUGCGCUGACGGACUUCUCGGAGUCGUCGGCGGCGUCGAGCUUGUGUUGGAGGGCAGAGAAGAGUGGAGAAUCGAAGCCCAUCAUCCUCAAAUCCAUGUUGGGUUUCAGAGAUUUGUCGUGUCAGAUUGUGAAUAACUGCAAGUGCAACUGCGAAUGUGGAAGUGCCUGAAUGUUGGAGGAAAUCGUAGGUAGUGGUGUGGUUUUUAUAGAAGACAGAGUUGGGAAACAGAGGAAGGUUCUGGAAAGAACAAGAAAGAGGAGAAUUGGGAGUUUGGCUCUGCUGAUUUUGCUCCAAGGGUUCCAGAAACUUGUGGAAGUUUCUUAAAAAUGACGAAAAUACCCCUAUCUUUGUUCAUACCUUUUAUGGAAGUUUUAUUUCAACUUACCCAAUGAUUUACAAAUCUUCUAAAAAUUAUGAUUUUGAUCUAUGCUUAUUUUAGAUACCAAUGCAAAUACGAUCUAAGAUUCACCUCAAUACAAAUUUAUUUAUCAAAAUUUAAAUUUAAAACACCAGAGAUUAAAUUUAAUCAAUACAAAUUCAAUCUCCUACAAAAAAAAAAAAAAAAAAAAAAAAAAAAAAGGACCUUAUGAUAUAGUUGUCAACCAGAGGAAACACCACCUUACUAGCUUUUUUACUUGCCAUGAAAUCUUAAAAUUUUUGCAGGAAAAAAAUGAAAACAGACCAAGGAAAAGAAAAGGUAGACUUUAAUCCUUUAUUGACGGUACUGAAAAUUCAGAACUGCACAUUGCAGUGUAAUGAAGAGAUCACCAUCUUCAUCACGCCUAGCAAUUGACCAAGAUCAAACCCAAACAAAAGCCACCUGGGCACACCCACAAUACCAUAUUGUUUGCUAUUAAAAACCCAGAAAAACAUUCCCAAAACCCUCAAUAUUUCAAGCAAUUUUGACCUCAAUUGUCUUGGGCUUCUUGGGCUCCGGCGGUGGCAGCUUCUCAACAGUGACGGUCAGCACCCCAUCUUGACAAACCGCGGAGAUCUUAUCAGUAUUCGCAUUCUCCGGCAGUACAAACUUCCUCAUAAACUUCCCCACCCUCCUCUCCAUUCUCACGUACUUGGCGCCUUCUUUCUCCUCCUCACGCUUCCUCUCGCCGCUGAUCAUCAGCACAUUGUCGUCCUCCACCUGAACCUUGAUGUCGCCGGAUUUCAGCCCCGGCAUGUCGAUGAUGAAGGAGUAGGCAUUCGGGUACUCCUUGACGUCCGCCGGUGUCGCAGCCAUGGCCUUGGCGUCGCGGACGUAGGUGCGAGUGGGAGCGUUGAGAGAUUUAUCAGAAUCUUCAACGGCGUCGAGCAUGUGUUGCAGGGUUGAGAAUAGUGGAGAAUCAAAAUCCAUGACCCUCAAAUCCAUCCCGCUUUGCAGCGAUUAGUCUGUUAGAUUGGCGACGAUUUGUAAAUGAAAAUGCAGAACUGAUUUUCUGAUGACGAAACCUCGGCCGUGGUGUGGUUUUUAUAGGUGGUGGGUUUGGCUUUGGGAAUAAGAGGAAGUUUCUCGAAGAAGGGAGAAGAGGAACAUCGGUAACUAGCUUCUGGAAGGAUCUAUGGACUUUCUUAGAAGUUACAACGGUAUAAGAAGUUGCUGGAAUGUUCUUUAUUAUUGACUAAAAUGCCCUUCUUUUUUCUUUGUCUUUUUUUGAUAUGUAUGAGAAAUUAAUACAAGAUAUUUUUAUUAGGAGAAAGUCAUAUUUUGUAUGUCAAAAAAAAUUAUUGAUUAUUUAUGUAAGUCAUAUUAUUUUAUCCUUUUAAAUCAAAUAAGUCUAAUAAUUAAUUGGUAAGCAAAAUAAGUCAAAUAAUUUUUGGCUCUCAAAAGGGAUCUAGGCUGAUGUAAAAUCUAUGAUCAAGGAGUUUCGGGCUACAGGAUCUGAAAUUUUAGUUAAUGAAAAUGCAACAAUAAAAAUAGGGAAACUACAUUCUGACUUGGAAGUCAUCUGCUACAGGAUCCAAAAGCCAAUGACCAUCAGAAACACCAAACCCAACCCAAAAUCACAUAAAAUCCAAGAUAUUAACACAAGCUCCCAUCCAUGGCCGCAAAUUUCCAAACCCCAAAUGUUCAAGCAAACUUCACCUCAAUGGUCUUGGGCUUCUUAGGCUCCGGCGGUGGUAGCUUCUUAACGGUGACGGUCCACACCCUAUCUUGACAAACCGCAGAAUCCUAUCAGUAUCCUCAUUCUCCGGAAAAACAACCUUCCGCGUACCUUCCUCUCCAUCCUCGCGUAUUUGGCGCCUCCCUCUCUCCGCUGAUCACCAGCACGUUGUCGUUCUCAACUUGAACCUUGACGUCCGCCGGGGUCGCAGCCAUGGCCUUGGCGUCGCGUACGUGGGUGCGGGUUGGAGCGCUGACAGAGUUGUCGGAGACAAGUCAUGACCAGCAGAGUAUUUCCCGAGGGGGCGCCGCCUGACACCAUAACAAGCAUUGUGAAGUUCCUCAAGUUUCACAGUUUCACUUGAUAAGAGCUCCUUCCCGAGAAAAAGCGGACUCCAUAAUCACCGAUCAGAGCACGCCAAGGAGAAACUAUAAAGCCAGACUAGGGAUAAGCAAGAGAUAGAUGAAAAAAGGGAGGAGAGCAAAACACUUCACGAUAUCAGCCUGCUGGUUCCAAUGAGGCUGGCCGACACUUCCCAGCAAUUCAUUAGGAUCUUGUGGUCUCAAAAGGUUCUUGUACCAGCAAUACUUAAAACUACAAACUCAUAAAGAAUCAUAGCUUUUGUGUAGAAAAGCAAAUGAUUGAUCAAAAUCAAACCCAGACCAAAUUCACGCAAAUCCCAAUUACACAUGCUUAUCAGGAAUUACCCACUCAAAACCACAAAGAUUUAAGCCAUAUUCACCUCAGUGAUCUUGGGUUUCUUGGGCCCCGGCGGCGGCAGCUUCUGCACGGUGACGGUCAAAACCCCAUCCUGACAUUUCGCAUCGAUCUGAUGAGUGUGCGCAUUCCCUGCAACGCAAACUUCCUCAUAAACUUUCCCAUCCUCCCCUCCAUUCUCACGUAGUACUUGGCGCCUUCCUUCUCCUCCUCGCGCUUCCUCUCUCCGCUGAUCACCAGCACAUUGUCGUCCUCCACCUGAACCUUGAUGUCUCCGGGCUUCAUCCCCGGCAUGUCGACAAUGGAGGUGUAGAAGUUCGGGUACUCCUUGACAUCCGCCGGUGUCACGGAGUCGUCCGCGGGCGUCGCGACCCGAACACCGGUGUCGCGGCCUAGCCUUAGCCUUGCGAGCGUUGGUCCUAGUGGGAUUGCUGACGAGUUCGGCAGAGGGGGUUAGGAAGGGUGGCGAAUCCAAGGCUCUUAUUCUCAAAUCCAUGUUGGGUUUCAGAGAUUUGGUGACGUGAAACUGGAAACAACCGCUAAUGCGAAGCGAAUGUUAAUGUCGAAGAAGGCGCAAAUGCUCCAGACAGAAUCAGAAGUAUAAUUUUGGUCAUUUCAAUUACCAAAAUACCCCUCAGCUUCUGGAGGCGUGUCCUCCUUCAAAGGCAGCUUGACAACAAAUCAUGAGCCCUUCUUCGAAGUCAAUAAAACGUUUUUACAAGUUUAGAUAAUUUUAUUUCAAAAGGUUAAUAAGGCAUUUGGUAAAAUUCAGUAUUUAAUAUUUAAUGAUUUAAUGUAAUUUUUCAAUUUAAUUAUGUUUAAAUUAUUAAGUAAUAAUAAUUUAUUAAGUUGAUUUAAUAAGUCAUUUUAAGUUUUAAGUUACAAUGUCAAGUUCCCUGGCCAAAAUUCAAUCACCCAAAGAAAAAACAUAAUCAAACUCUCAGCCAGAGGAAACACCAGCAAAUCUUCUGUUUGGUAACGUCCAAUGCUUUUUUUCCUGCCUUCAGAGUUCAGAUCUUAAAAAUAUAUCUGAAAAAAAUAAAAAGGAGGAAAGGAAGAGUAAAGGGUAACUUCAUUGAUAGUACACAACACUACACAUUAGACUAUUCUUGAGAAAUCACCUACUUCAUCACGACAUCGCCAGCAGCCAUUGACCCAAAAUCAAACCCAAACAAAGCCUCCUGUGCCAGACCCACUUUACCACAUUAUUUCCUACUAAACAAAACCCUCCCAAAAUCCCCAAUAUUUCAAGCAAUUUUGACCUCAACGGUCUUGGGCUUCUUGGGCUCCGGCGGUGGCAGCUUCUCAACGGUGACGGUCAACACCCCAUCUUGACAAACGGCAGAUAUCUUAUCAGUAUUCGCAUUCUCUGGCAACACAAACUUCCUCAUAAACUUCCCCACCCUCCUCUCCAUUCUCACGUACUUGGCGCCUUCCUUCUCCUCCUCCCGCUUCCUCUCUCCGCUGAUCACCAGCACAUUGUCGUCCUCCACCUGAACCUUGAUGUCGCCGGACUUCAGCCCCGGCAUGUCGAUGAUGAAGGCGUAGGAAUUCGGGUAUUCCUUGACGUCAGCCGGAGUCGCAGCCAUGGCCUUGGCGUCGCGGACAUAGGUGCGGGUUGGAGUGUUGAGAGACUUGUCGGAAUCGUCGCCGGUGUCGAUCAUGUUUUGUAGAGUUGAGAAGAAUGGACAAUCAAAACCCACGAUCCUCAAAUCCAUUUUGCUGUUUAGCAAUUAGUUUGUGAGAUUUGCGAAGAUGAGUAACUGGAAGUGUUAGAAUUGAUUUUCCGAUGAGGAAUUCGCGGGUGGUUGUGUGGUUUUUAUAGGUGUUGGGUUUGGCUUUGGGAAGCAGGGGAAGUUUCGGGAAGAAAGGAGAAGAGAGGCAUUGGUAGGUUCUGGAAGGUUCUAUGAUUCUCUUGCAAGUUAGAACGGUAAAAAGAAGUUGCUGGAAGAUUCUUGCGUAUAGACUAAAAUGCCCUUUUGCCCCUCAUUCUGCAAAAUACUCUAUAGAUGAGUUGAAUUCUAUAGUAAUUAAGAAAAUAAUCUAACUUUACUCCGGAAAAACCCCAAAACGCUGAGGUCUUUUUAAUAAAUUUAGACAUCAUUACCUCAAAGGUCAAAAAACCAUCUUGACAUAUUAGAGAUCCUAAAGUAUUUGCAUUCUCUGACAAUCGAAACUUCUUCAUAAACUUGCCUAACCUCCUCUCUGUUCUCACAUACUUGGCGCCUUCCUUCUCUUCCUCGAGCUUCCUCUCUUCGUUGAUCACCAGCACAUUGUCAUCCUCCAUCGGGACUUUGAUGUUAUCGGGCUUCAGCCUUAAUUGUGACAUCCCACAUUGGAUAUGGGAGAAGAUUUCUAGCGCUAUAUAAGUAUGAACUUCUCUUAACCCUGUAGACGUGUUUUAAAGUCGUAAGGGUCUCUUUGAGUCUAAAACGGAUAAUAUCUACACGGUUGGGAACGAGUCGUUACAAAUGGUAUCAGAACCAGACUCUCAACCUCGAUGUGUGGUUUGUUUGAUCCCGUAAAUGUGUUUGUUUGUUUGGCCCCACAAUCCCAUGGGACACAACAAGGACGUUGUGUCUGCAUGAAGAGCGUUUGUAACAUCUCACAUUGGAUAGAGGGGAAAGUUUUUGGCACUAUAUAAGUAUGAAAGACCUCUUUAGGUCUAAAACGAAUAAUAUCUACACAGUUGGUACCAGGAGGGCAACCUUAUCGUCCUUAAGUCUUGGACUUGGGUUCGAAUCCUGGGGAGGCCACUCUGUGACGCCCUUGACUGGCACAGAGCCAAAUAUACUCAAAACAAAUGACGUCCCAACACUCUCCUUUCUUACGUACUUGGAACCUUCCUUCUCCUCCUCCCGCUUCCUCUCUCCGCUGAUCACCAGCACAUUGCCGUCCUCCACCUGAACCUUGAUGUCGCCGGACCUCAGCCCCGGCAUGUCGACGAUGAAGGUGUAGGAAUUCGGGUACUCCUUGACGUCAGCCGGCGUCGCCGCCAUGGCCUUGGCGUCCCGGACGUAGGUGCGGGUGGGAGCGUUGAGAGACUUGUCGGAAUCGUCGCCGGCGUCAAGCAUGUGUUGGAGGGUUGAGAAGAGUGGAGAAUCAAAACCCAUGACCCUCAAAUCCAUUUUGCUUUUCAGCGAUUAGUCUCUGAGAUCUGCUAAGAUUUGUAAAUGAAAAUGUUGGAAUUGAUUUUCUGAUGAGGAAUUCAUGCCGGUGGUGUGGUUCUUAUAGGUGGUGGGUUUGGGUUUGGAAGCAGAGGAAGUUUCUGGAAGAAGAGAGAAGAGCAACACUGGUAGCUUCUGGAAGUUUUAUGGACCUUCUUACAAGUUAAAACGGAAAAAUUCAAAUUGACUAAAGUGCCCUUCUGUCUCUAUGGCUACAAAAUCCCCUUACGUGGACGCCUUUGAAUGUUGCUGUAAUAAGACAACAAUUUAAUUUUACUCCUCCGAAAGUCAGGUAUUUGUUUUUUGGGAGAAUUACGUUUGGAGGUAGAUGGACAUUCAAAUUAACAAAAGGUCCAUGUAAUUCUUCAAAUUGAGCCUAAGACCCAAUAAAAGUAUGAAAAUUGAGUUGAAGGAUAUCAUCUUUCAGUAUUUCCAAAAAUACCCUUUAUUGAUUUUGAGAAAAAAAAUUAAUAUUUUUUAAAAAUACUUUUAUGUAAUUUAAUAUUUUUAAAAAUAAUUUAUUUAAUUUAAUAUUUUUAAAAAAUAAAUUUAUUUAAUUUAAUAUUUAAAAAAAAUAAAUUUAUUUAAUUUAAUAUUUAAAAAAAAUAAAUUUAUUUAAUUUAAUAUUUUAGAAAAAAUUUAAUUUAAUAUUUUUUUAAAUACUUUAAUUUAAUUUAAUAUUUUUGAAAAAAAAAUCAUUUAAUUUAAAAUUUUUGAAAACUACUUUUAUUUAAUUUAGUAUUUUUGAAGAAAAAUUAUUAAAAAAAAAUUAUUUAACUUAAUUUUAUAAAAUAUUUUAUAUGUGUUCUUAAAGGGUAUAUUUGUCCGUUACUAUUUCAUAUCCUUCAACUCAAUUUGAAGAGUUAUAUGGACCUUUUGUUAAUUUAGGAUCCCAUCUAACCCCAAAACAUAAUUCUCCCUUGUUUUUUUUUAUUGAAAAUAAUUUAUUUUUGAAUGGUUUGUUUUUUCUUUUUCUUAUUUACGAUUUAUUAUAAAUUUUUUAUUGGAUAAAAAAAACUAAAAUAUUUAAUUUUUUCUAAACUUAAUAAUUAAUACUAUUAAAUAUUAAAAUUUUAUUUAUAAUUAAGUAAAAAAAACCAACACUACUGUAAACCCCCAUUUGGGCUCCUCUUCCAUGCAUUUUUUUUUACCAGGUGUCACAAUCCCAAGAAAGCUGGCAGCCAUUUUGGAAGAGUGGGGGCUGGUUUCUGGAGGAGCCGAGCAUGUUGGGACGUGUGGCCAUGGACACCACCACCUUGCCAUGGUGGUGGUUGAGGAUGGAGACUGGCUGAUGGUUGGAACAGGGAAAGACUUGCAAGAGGGGAAAAACAGAGGGCAGGUGAAGGCUGGCAGGGGGUCUUCAUUUUUUUGAGGAGAGGCGAACGGGAGAGGGGAGAGACCGGAGAGAGAAGAAACAGAGGAACGAGAGGGAGUUUGAGGGGAAAAACGAGUGGGGAUCGUUUUGGAGAUAGAUUAAGAGCUAGAAACCAAGCAUAACAAUGCUUGAAGGGAGUUGUCCAGGUACGAUUACUAAAGCUCCAUGUUUUCUCCUAUCUUCAUAUUGUUUCCUUUUGGUUUCUGCAUAUUAUUUUGUUGGUUGAAUCUGAAUAUAAAAAACCAUCAUGUUAUUGUUGAGCCUGAGAUUGUUUUUAUGCUUCCACUGUUUGGGUUAUGCUCUGGUUUCUUUGUCUCUGUUUUAUACCAGAUUUGCAACAUUUGGAGGUAUUAUUUACAUUCCUAUUUUGGACCCCAUUUUGAGAUUUCUAUACAUUGGCUCUCAAGUUCACUGGUAACUCAUGAAGUAAAGCUUCACUUGUUGACCAGUGAUUUAUGUUUAUGUCAUGUUUCUAUGAUUGUUAUUUUUGCUGUGAUUUUCCUCUGUUCGUUGACUGUCCAUGGUGUCCAUCAAGUGGUGCACUUCCACCUAGGGCUUCUCUGAUCUGUUGGAUAACAUACCAUUAAUUCGAGGAGCUGUGAAAAGAAAGGAAAUUUGAAUCAAUUGCAAAAUGCUUUGAGAAGGCUAGUUACAGUUGGGUUGAAGUUACUGUUGGGGAUAAAUGUAUGCCCAAGAUCCAAUCUAUCAUGUAAUCAACUUUAGUUUUAAUAAGGUAUUAAUUCUUUAUUUCAUUAUCAUAUCUGUUUAAAAUAGUUUAUAUGAUAAGGUCCUUGAUUAAAAUUUGAAAAAUUGUUAUCAUGAUAGAGAUUAUGAUAAUGAGAAGCAAUUCUUUUAAUAAUUUUAAUCUAAACUGUUCUUGAUCAUAGGAUUAUUGUCAACAGGACAUCAAUAAUCCAGAUAGAUCAAUAUAUAUGUGAUGGUCUUUAUUGGAUAAAGAUUGAUAUAUCUCAUUUGUUAAAUUACAUAUAUAGAUGAUGCACAUGUAGAUGUGAUCAUUGAACUGACUCAACUGAGAAUUUCUAAUGGUUAUCUUUACCUUAAAUUGUCAAUAGGAAUUUCUCAAGAAGAAAUAUAAUAGUUUUCUUUGACCUGAGAUUAUCAAAGUAAUUAACAAGUUAUUUAUUAUAUUUUAAUCCCGGACACCUAAUGCCUUAGGGCACUAGUUGAAUGGAUAUUGGAUAUAAUUAAAUACUUGUAGAAUUAAUGAUUAAUCAAGAAGGAAUCCAUCAACUCGUGGUAAUGAGUUUGAGCUCUAUGAUAAAAAUAAGACCUUGGCCAAGGCAAUUGAAUGAAUGAAGAAAUGAGUUUCUUAAGUCAUUCACUAANNNNNNNNNNNNNNNNNNNNNNNNNNNNNNNNNNNNNNNNNNNNNNNNNNNNNNNNNNNNNNNNNNNNNNNNNNNNNNNNNNNNNNNNNNNNNNNNNNNNUAGCACCAAGAAUAUAAUUAAUAUAUAGAUAAAAAAAAUAAAAUAUUUUUCUUUGGACGUGGAAGUUAGUCCACGAGAAUGUUUGCUAAACAUUUGCAAACAUAUGGGUACAUGCAGCAACUUACAGGAGGGAUGUGGGUUUUGUUUUUAACUUACAAGACUUGGUCAAAGUGUUUUUCAAAUGCUAUUGAAAAUAGCAAAAGAAAAACAAAUGGACCAAUAGAAUCUCUUAGUAGCCCAAAAAAGGAGGACACGAUAGAGAUAGAUUAAGUGAUAAAAUCAAAAAUCAAAUUAGUUGAGUUAUCUUAUCACUUAAAACAGAAGUUGUAUCGGAUAUGCUAUAUAACAUAUAUACACAAUCUGAAUAAGGAUCGAUCUAUCUUUUUCCUCCUUGUUUUUUACGCCAAAGAAAUAAAAAGUGUUGUUCUAUUUUUUUUAAGUUCCGCGUAUCAAAGGGUUGAUAGCAAAGAUUAAUUUCGGUGUGGAUACACGUAGAGUCUUCAUACAAUUGGAGAAAAUUUUAUGCUUGAAGAACUGAUAUCCAGGUUAUUAUUUUAAAUUUUUGAUAGCUGCAGUAUAUAUUUUGAAUGCAAAAUAGAUCAAUUUUCCGCUGUAUGUGUUAUAAAUUUAUUUUAUAACCUUUCAGUUACAGGGCAUGUAAGUUGCUUCAUGUCAAGGAAUCAUAAAAUCCAAUUCCUUUUAAAUUUAAUUUCCAAAAUUCCAUUUCCUAAAUUUAAUUUUUAGAACUCUAAUAUCUUUCAAAUUUAAUUUCCGGAAUUCCGAUUUCCUUCAAAUUUAAUUGCCAAAAUUCAAAAUUUUCAAUUUAAUUUCUAAAAUUUCAUUUCUUUCAAAUUUAACUUCCAAAAUUCUGAUUUCUUUCAAACUUAAUUUCCAAAAUCCAAUUUCUUUUAAAUUUAAUUUCCAAAAUUCCAUUUCCUAAAUUAAUUUUUUUUAAAACUCCAAUUUCUUUCAAAUUUAAUUUCCGGAAUUCUGAUUUCCUUCAAAUUUAAUUUCCAAAAUUAUGAUUUCUUUCAAAUUUAAUUUCCAAAAUCCAAUUUCUUUUAAAUUUAAUUUUCAAAAUUCCAUUUCCUAAAUUUAAUUUUUAAAACUCCAAUUUCUUUGGAAUUUAAUUUCCAAAAUUCUGAUUUCUUUCAAAUUUAAUUUCUAAAAUUUCAACUCUUAAGUUUAAUUUCCAAAAUUCUAUUUCCUAAAUUUAAUUCUCAAAAUUCCAAUUUCUUUUAAAUUUAAUAUCCAAAAUUCUAAUUCUUAAAUUUAGUUCCCAAGGCUUGAAUUUUCAAAUAAUUUUCGAGACUCCAAUUUUCAAAUAAAUUUCAAAAAUCCAGUUUUCUCUCGAACAAUUUUAAUUCCACUAUGGUUUUCAAAUGAUAUUUUGUUUCUCUUGAUUCUAUAUAAGCAAGAAUGAAUUUUCAUAAUUCUAGAAUAAUGGAAUUUGCGAGACUAAUUCGUGCAAGAUAAACUGGGCUUUGGUGGGGGCCCUACAUAGGAGUUUUAUUGUCAACUGUUAUACUUAAUGAAUAUUGUCUGAUCUUUGUCUUGUUGUUUGAUAUGCAUGCGAUAUAUUUUGUAUUCAUUAUUGUGCACUAAUCCCAUUUCAUGAUAGUGCAUUAUUACUUGCUGCCAAGGUACGAUCUCACUCCCACUUUAUUUAUUUCUAUGCAUGAUUCGUUUUAUUAUUCGAUUAUUUCACUGGUAUUUAUUGAUUUCCUAAUUAAUUAUUAUAUUUGCUUCACCUUGAUUAAUAGAGACCCAUUUUUUGGGGCUUAGAGGGGUGCUACGGUCUUUACCGUACUCUUCCCAAUAAGUAACCUAACCCCCGAACCUAGACCCUGUUUUUCACAGACCUGGUUUUUUUCUUCAGAAAUUAUAUUUAGGGUUUUUCUUUUUUAUUUUGUUUUUCCCUUAAAAAAUAAAACAAAAAUAAGUAGCGACUCCAAGUUUUUUCAAAAAAUCAAAUUUUCACAAAAUGAAUAAAAAGUGAGUUUCACCAUCGAGUGGGAACACAUUGAGCAAAAUGCGGGGUCCACAACUACUCAUUUAACUUUUUCAUUAAAUUGGCAUAAAUAAAAUAAUAUCACACUAUAAAGUAUACAAAUCUGAAAAUAUUUACUUAGUAAAAUUUUAAAUUUAUUGUUAAUAGUUGUUCCAUAAUAUUAAUCAUUUUAAAAUAAACUUAAACUUUCAUUAGUUAAAUUCUUAAUUUUUAUAAAUAGAAUAAUUUGAGCAUGUAUUUUCAUUAAAUAUGGUUGUCUUAAUUACUAAUUUUAAUUUAUUUAGUAAUAGAUCUUAUUAAAUUACAAAAUUAUAAAAAAAAAUAAUAAUUUAAUAUGUUUUCGAAAAUGAGUUCUUAGCAUCCAUGAGCUCUAAAAUAAUUAUUUUAGAGCAUGUUUCUUAAAUAAGCAUCCUUCACAUAAUUCAUUCAUCAUCUCCGAAAAGCAAUUCCCAUUUUUUUUUUCAACAAUUUUAAUUCAUCAAAAUUAAGAUAUCCAAAUCUUAAAUGUCAAAUCCAAAAGGAAUUAUCACACGAGAUUUUAGAUAUUUAUUAUUUUGUAUGUUUAACAAAAACAUUGCAUUUCUUGACAUAUUAUUAAUUACAUUUACAUGCUAUCUCUUACUAAAAGAGUCAUAUAAAUAUCAUAAUCUUUUUCUAAAAGCUAGUCCAAACUUAAUAUAUUAUUUGUCAUUUGGGCAAAUAACAAAUAAUGUUCGAGAUAAAUCGAUGCAUUCCAUUCUUAUUUUACCUUUGCCUUUUUAGAUACAUAAUAAUUCUUUCCCCACAAAAUGGACUUAACUUUGAAUAGUUUCCAAGAUGGGUGAGCCCAAAAAAAAGAGGCUAUUUGGACAAAUUCUAAAGCUGUGACCCAAAAGACUACGUUUUAAAAAAAAAAUUCACAAAGUACUCCCAUUUCUAAAAUAAUGUCCAAUCUAAUGUGUCUGUACCACGUAAAUUGUCACGUCAUAAAACCGUAGUUGGUAAUUAUGGUUUUAUUUUUUAAAAAUAGUCAAAACCGUAGUUACCAACCACGAUUUUAACUUUAAGUUUAAAACCGUAGUUGGUGAUUACGACUUUGAAUAUUUUUAAAAACAGUCAAAAGCCGUAAUCACCAACUACGACUUUAACUUUCCUUUAUCCUUUCCCCCUUUCCCGAUUAGGUUUAUUCAUUUUCCCAAUUACCUUUCUUCCCUUUAGUUUUUGUGUUUAUUUUCAUUUGCAUUAUAUUGUUAACUUUUUUUUUUUAUUAUUAUGAACAAAUUAUUAUAUAUUUAAAUGAAAAUAUGAUAAAUUUUAAACUUAAAUUGAACUUUUAUAUAUAUAUAUAUAUAUAUAUAUAUAUAUAUAUAUAUAUAUAUAGCAAUCUGACAAUCUAAAAAAUUGGUUUUAGGUUUAAAUUUAAACUAAUUAUAUUUAUAACUAAUUAGUUACAACAACACUAUAUUGAUAUAGAAAAAAUAAUGUAUUAAAAAAAUUUACAAUUUAAACCUCCAAUCAAAAUAAUUUUUUAAAAAUUAAAUAUUCACAUGAUUUAAAAUUUGAACUUAAAAAAUUGGUUUUAGGUUUAAAUUUAAAGUUAUGAUCACCAACUACUAUUUUGACUAUUUUUUAAAAAAAUUCAAAAAUCAUGAUUACCAAUUACAGUUUUGUGAUGUGAAUACCCACAUGAAUAAGACACACAUCACAUUGAAAAUUAUUUUGAGAAUAAAAUUAUUUUAUGAAUUUUCUGUUUUAAAGAAAUCAUUUUUGCCCAAAACUCCCAUUAGUACCCAAUAAGAAACAUUUUUCUUAUUAUCAAUGAAUUUACAAAAAUAUUCUAAAAGCAUUUUCAUCUAUUUACCAAAACAAUUAAACUAAAUAGUGAAUUGAUUGGAAAAAAAAAUGUAUUUUCUUUUUUACAAUUAUAUAUUUUAAGAAGUGGAAAAACAAAUUUUUUUAGGUUGGCAUUUUAAGUUUAACAUUUUAAGCCUUUCCAUUCCAUUUUGAUCCCAUUUUGAAAAGAGAAAAAUGGGAAAAAAAUUAUUUUUGUUGUAUUUAAGUAAUUUUCCAAUUAUUUACCCAUGAAGUCAUAUUAUAUUUUGAACAAGUGCAUAAUUGUCUUUAAUUUUUGCACAAAGUUACAAAAUAAUAUAAUAUUCUUUAUUAUGAGGGUAUAAAAUAGUAUAUUUAUAACUAAUUAUAUUUAUAUUGAGUGUAGUGCCAAAUAUUUUAAUAAAAUUAUCAAAAUAUAUUUUUAUAUUAAAUUAAAGACAUCAAUUAUUUAAUUUCAUAUAUUACUAUUCUGUAAAUAAUAAGAUCAAUUAAAGUUAAAUAUUUUUAUUACACCAUUUACAUAUUUUUAAUCAAUAUAAAAUCAAAAUAAUAUAAUAUUUUAUUUAAAAAAAUUAAACUUAAAUAUAUAUAUAUAUAUAUAUAUAUAUAAAAUUAAAGUUAAAGUCGUAGUUGGUGACUACGGUUUUAACUUUAAGUUUAAAAUCAUGAUUGAUGACACGGUUUUGAUUGUUUUUAAAAAGUAAAACCGUAAUUGGUAACUACGAUUUUAUGACAUGAUAAUUUACUUAGAGUAAACGCAUUAGAUUGGACAUUAUUUUGGAAAUAAGGGUACUUUAUAAAUUUUUUUUUUAAAACAUAGUAUUUUGGGUCAGCUCCAAAUUCUAAGGGUUGUUUGGGCUUGUCCAUUAAUUUGGGACAUGAAACCCACUAAAGGCUAAAGCCAGAACAAGACUAGUCUCAUCCAAGAAGGUAGAACAUAAAAAUAUAUUCCACACAAACCUUAUGGUAGAAGUUAAAAUAAAACUUUUGCUCAAUCACUCUUAAAUCUUACAAAAGCCUUAUAGUUUCAGGGUAAUAUUUCUUAGGAAGAUCAGUUUUCCCAUCUUCUCUACGCAUACAAUGAAGCUUCCAACCAGAAGAGAGAUACACCAAAGAAGAAGAAAAACAGAGCAGGAAGGCUUUCAUUCAUACUCAAAACUAGAAUAUUUGUAAAGAAAUCAUCAGCUUCUAUGUAGAAGCCAAUGACCCAAUAUCAUACCCUGACCAAAUUCACAGAAAUCCCAAUUAGACCAGCUUAUCGGCAAUUACCCACUCAGAAAUCACGGAGAUUUAAGCGAUCUUGACCUCAAUCGUCUUGGGCUUCUUGGGCUCCGGCGGUGGUACCUUCUCAACGGUGACGGUCAGUACUCCAUCUUGACAAACCGCGGAGAUCUUAUCAGUAUUCGCAUUCUCCGGCAACGCAAACUUCCUCAUAAAUUUGCCUACCCUCCUCUCCAUUCUCACGUACUUGACGCCUUCCUUCUCUUCCUCGCGCUUCCUCUCUCCGCUGAUCACCAGCACAUUGUCGUCCUCCACCUGAACCUUGAUGUCGCCGGACUUCAGCCCCGGCAUGUCGACGAUGAAGGUGUAGGAAUUCGGGUACUCCUUGACGUCAGCAGGCGUCGCCGCCAUGGCCUUGGCGUCGCGGACGUAGGUGCGAGUGGGGGCGCUGACGGACUUGUCGGAGUCAUCGGUGGCGUCUAGCAUGUGUUGGAGGGCAGAGAAGAGUGGAGAAUCGAAGCCCAUCAUCCUCGAAUCCAUGUUGGGUUCCAGAGAUUUGUUGGUGUGAGAAUGUGAACAACUGCAAUUGCGAAUGUAGAAGUGCUUGAAUGUUGGAAGGGAUCGGAGGUAGUGAUGUGGUUUUUAUAUUAGACGAGUUGGGAAACAGAGGAAGGUUCUGGAAACAACAAGAAGGAGGAGAAUUGGGAGUUUGUAUCUGUUGGCUCUGCUCCAACGGUUCCAGAAGUUUGUGGAAGUUUCUUUAAAAUGACUAAAGUACCCCUCAUUUGUUCAUAAAAAUUACCUUUUAAAAGAAGUUCUAUUUCAACUUACACGGUAGUUCACAAAUCUUUUAUCAUAUUAUUGUCAACAAGCUAUGGUUUUGAUCAAUGCUUGAUGUAAAUUUUUAUUUUGAUUUUAGAAAAAAAAUAAAAAUAAAGACAUAAUUCUAAAAGGUAUUAUUACGGUAAAAAGUUAAACUAAAACUUUGAGAUAAAAUCAUUUUUUAGGGAACAUUUAAUAAAUCAAUUUAAUAACUUAAAGUAAAUUAAUAAUUUAAUUUAUAUUAUUAAAUAAAUUAAGUAUGUUUGAUAAAAUAAUUUAAUGAUAUAACUUAAGAAUAAAAAAUAACUUAAAGUAACAAACAAAAAUAAUUAAUUAAUUCUUAAAUUUAUAUCUUUAUUUUAAUUUUUUUACUCUUAUUUAUCCGAACUAUUUUCAUAAUCUUUUUUGUUAUUUCAUGACUUUCAUUGUUACUCAAAUUACUUUAUCCUAAUUAUAUAAUUUAUGAAGAUAAAUAUAUUAAUUUGGUGAUUUAUAAUAAAUUUUAAUUUAAUUUUAUUAAAUAACCUUAAUAUUUAAAAUAAGAAUUAAAUAAUAAUUUUUAAGUCAAUAAUUUAAAUAUAAUUUAACUUAAAAUCAAAUUAAAUAAUUAAAUAAUAAAUAAUAAAUUUUACCAAAUACCAUUUUAGAAUUGUUUUUAUAGUAAAGUUAGUUAAAUAAAUACAGAUUUUUUUAUUAAUAAGAGUUUUUGAACUUAGAUCCAACUUGUGUUUUAUCUAUUAAAAUUUAAAAGUUAUAACCAAUUAAGCAUUAACAAUUAAAAAAAAAUUACUCUUUAUUUCUAAAUCGUACAUUAAUAAUAAUUGACUAAUAAAUUAUGAACAUGGAUAAUUUGCCCCUUAUCGGUAGGAGCAUAAAUUACAUGGCAAGUCAUGUUGGGUACAUUUAACUUGGAUUGAACAAGGCGUAGAAGGAUUAAAUAGAAGUAUAUCAUUGAUGAUAAUAUUGCUUAAAUUUAUUUAAUGUCUUCAUUAUUCUAAUACCAGUCAUUAUAUUUGAUCAUUUUCAAAGAGAACAACUCUUCCCUGAGACAAAUAUGGUGUCACUCUCCCAAUCUAAAUUACAAAUUUAGAUUAUCGAAUUCCCUACCCAAAAUCCAAUCUUCCCAGUUAAAAAAAAAAGACUUGUAGUGAAGUUGUCAACCAGAGGAAAUACCACACCUUACUAUGGCUUUUUAAUUGCCGUUAAAUCUUAAAAAUUCUCCAGGAAAAAUGAAAACGAGGCAAGGAAGAGAAAAGGCAGACUUUAUUGACGGUACUGAAAAAUCAAAACUAUACAUUAUACUGUAAUGAAGAGAUCAGUAUUUUCAUCACCCCAAGCCAUUGACCCAAGAUCAAACCCAGACAAAGGCUCCUGUGGCACAGCAACAUUACCACAUUAUUUACUACUAAAACUCCAGAAAAACCCUCCCAAAACCCCCUACAUUUCAAGCAAUUUUGACCUCAAUGGUCUUGGGCUUCUUGGGUUCCGGCGGUGGCAGCUUCUCGACGGUGACGGUCAACACCCCAUCUUGACAUACAGCAGAGAUCUUAUCAGUAUUCGCAUUCUCCGGCAACACGAACUUCCUCAUAAACUUCCCCACUCUCCUCUCCAUUCUUACGUACUUGGCACCUUCCUUCUCCUCCUCUCGCUUCCUCUCUCCGCUGAUCACCAGCACAUUGCCGUCCUCCACCUGAACCUUGAUGUCGCCGGACCUCAGCCCCGGCAUGUCGACGAUGAAGGUGUAGGAAUUCGGGUACUCCUUGACGUCAGCCAGCGUCGCCGCCAUGGCCUUGGCAUCCCGGACGUAGGUGCAAGUGGCUUAAGGUUGAGGGAUUCAAAGACCUUGUUCGAACUUGUGGCAGGGGAUCAAAGUCAGUGGCAGUGCUAGUUAUAGAUUAGCUGCUAAAAUGAAGGAAGUAAAAAAGAAGCUGAAAGUAUGGAACAAAGAGGUUUUUGGGAGGCUGGAAUGCAACAAAUCUUCAGCCCUACAACAAGUAGAUUUCUGGAAUCGGGUGGAAAGCGAGAGAAACUUGACUGUGGAGGAAACUAAAUUAAAAAAGAAGCAAAAGAAACCUAUAAAAAGUGGGUUCUGUUGGAGGAAGCUCAUUGGAGAUAGCUUUCAAGGGAGAUUUGGCUAAGGGAGGGGAAUAGAAACACGGGUUUCUUCCAUCGAAUGACAAGUAUUCAUCGUAGAAACAAUGCUUUUGACAGAAUUAAGGUUAAUGGGGAGUGGCUGUCAGAGGAGCAGGAGGUGAGGGAAGAAAUUGUUAACACAUUUCAGUAGAUGCUCUCUAAAGAUAUGGAAUGAAAGGCGAAUAUUGGAAGAAUUCAUAUUGAUCACAUCAUCCGGCAAGAAGCAGAGAGUUUGGAGGUCCCAUUUACAGAGAUUGAGAUUUAUACGGCGUUGAUGGAGAUGAAUGGGGAUAAAGCCCCUGGUCUGGAUGGCUUUACUGUAGCUUUCUGGCAAAACGCUUGGGAUUUUACCAAAGAGGAGAUUCUGGAUAUGUUUAAAAAAUUUCAUGAACAUAACUCUUUUGUUAGAAGUCUCAACAAUACUUUUUUGGUAUUGAUCCCUAAGAAAAGUGGGGUUGAGGAUCUUGGAGACUUUAGACCUAUCAGUCUCUUAGGGGGCCUUUAUAAACUUUUGGCUAAAGUUCUAGCUAAUAGGCUAAAAAAAGUGAUUAGUAAGGUGGUCUCCAUUGCCCAGAAUGCCUUUGUAACAGGAAGACAAAUUCUUGAUGCGUCAUUAAUUGCUAGUGAGGUGAUAGAUUCAUGGCAGAAGAGAAAAGAGAAGGGCCUUAUAUGCAAAUUGGAUAUAGAAAAAGCUUAUGACAACAUCAAUUGGAAAUUCUUAAUGAAGGUCUUACAAAAAAUGGGUUUUGGGGCUAAGUGGGUGGGAUGGAUGUGGAGUUGCGUGUCCUCUACCAAAUUCUUAGCUCUUGUUAAUAGAGUACCAACUGGUUUUUUCCCUAGCACUAAAGGGCUUAGACAAAGAGAUCUUCUAUCCCCUUAUCUUUUUUGUAAGGAAUUUGAGGCUAAUCCAAACUAUGCUAAUCACCCUAGAGAGGGGGGGUAAAUAGGGUGAUGGUCUCUUUUUCACAAAUUUAAACUAUGCAAAAAUAAGAGAUAAUUAUAUGCAAAUAUAUAAUAAACAAAAUAAACACAAUUACAUAUAAUUUAAAAGAGUUAGGGAAGAGAGAGUGCAAACAUGAGAGUUUAUAGUGGUUCGGCACUUCCUUGCCUACGUCCACUCUCCUCAACCUUUUAACCGAGUGAGGGUUCCACUAUCUUGAAGUUUCAACCAAACUUCCAAUCUCUUUACAAUUGGAUUAUGGUUCUAAUUCACCCUCUUAGACUUUUGGCUCCAAGCACCUUUUACACUUCUUAAGAGUUAUCCCACUCUUGAACAACCUCUCAAGUGAUACCCCUCACUUGAGAAAAUUCAUCUAAAAAAUAUACAAAGAUUGAUCUCACAAAGAUCCUAGUAAUAGAACUUUAGGCUCAAAAAUACAAGAAAAACUAGGAUUGAAUGGUACACUAAAGAUAUGCAAGUUAUGAAACAAUGGUGCACUCAAAAACACUCUUCCAAGGCUCAAAUAUAAUCAAGAAUGAUUUGGGAAGGUUAAGCUUAUGAAACAAUGAAGAUUGAAGCCUUUUUAUAGAAGAAAAAAGUCAAACUAGCCGUUGGGGGUUCGACCGGUCGAGCUAGGUGUCGACUGGUUGACUAGCCGUUAGGGAAAGUGACCGUUGGGCCUCAACCGGACCUCAACCGGUCCUCAAUUGGACCUCAACCGAACCUCAACCGAACCUCAACCGAUUGAGGUUCAACCUUGACUGGGAAGAGAAUGCCACUGGGAGAGAGAGAAACUUUUUGGCCUCCCUCAACCGGUCCUCGACCGGACGAGCACAACCGGUCGACCGGUUGAACCAGUUGAGCCAUUUUUUUGGCUCAACACUCAACCCUUUUCAACUUAAAACCUUUUAACACAAGUUUGAAAAUCAUUUAACAGAAGGUUUUAGUUGAAAACAUGAAAUCAUCCAAUUCUUAAGAUAUUUAAAACAAUAUUACUUUUGGAUGAUUUUGGUUCAUAAAUAAAUAAUGAAAUGCAUGAAAGUCCUAGUGCACCAACAACCUUACAAAGAGAUCUUAAGAAGCUUUGGUCUUGAAAAAAACUCUUCUCUUUGAGGUGGUCUUCUUCUACAUGAUUUCUCCUUGGCUUGAUUUGUCUUUGGAUUACCACUUUGGAAGUCGUCUUGCCUAAUCACACUUAAAAUGUAGUCAUUAGUUUUAAACCUUGUUUUGUUAUCAUCAAAAUCAAGAUUAACCAAACCUUGGUUUCACAUCUUUGUUAUGGGAAUGGAAGUGUUGGACGUCCUCAUCAGGAGAGCUGUGGAGGGGGGAUACUUAUCAGGAUGCAUAAUUCGGGGUGGUAGUAGACCCUCUUUGAACAUCUCCCACCUAUUUUUUGCUGAUGACACAAUAGUGUUUUGUGAGGUAAGUAAAGAGCAAUUAUCUUACCUAAGUUGGAUUCUUCUUUGGUUUGAAGCAGCUUCAGGCCUUAGAAUUAAUUUAGCCAAAAGCGAAAUCAUCCCAGUUGGAGAAGUGGAGGAGAUUCAUGAGCUGGCAGUUGAGUUAGGGUGUAGGGUGGGAUCCUUGCCCUUUCAAUAUUUGGGACUCCCUCUAGUGGUUCCUAAUAGGGCUACUUCUAUGUGGGAUGGAGUGGAAGAGAGAGUUAGGAGGAGACUUGCGCUUUGCAAAAGGCAGUACAUUUCCAAAGGGGGGAGGAUCACUCUUAUAAAAAGCACCUUGGCUAGCAUGCCAAUAUACCAAAUGUUUAUUUUUCGAAUGCCCAAGUCUGUUGCUAAAAGAGUAGAGAAAGUUCAAAGGACUUCCUAUGGGGGGAGGACACUUAGAGGGGAAAAUUCAUCUAGUUAAAUGGAAUGUGGUUUGCACAGAAAAAAACAAGGGUGGGCUAGGCUUAAGGAAAAUAGCCAUGCUAAACAGAGCCUUGCUUGGUAAGUGGAUUUGGAGGUUUGCUUGUGAAAAAGAUUAUCUUUGGAAGCAAGUGAUCACAACGAAGUAUGGGUAAGAGGAUCAUGGAUGAAGGUCAAAGAAGUCUAAUGAGGCGGUUGGAGUAGGGGUGUGGAAGGAGAUUUUGAAAGAAUCUGAUUGGUGCUGGGAUAAUCUAGUGUUUCUAGUUGGGAAGGGCUCCAAAAUCAAAUUUUGGAAAGAUACUUGGUGCACUGACACACCGCUGUCCCAUUAUAUCACUUACCUCUUUGUUCUGGUCGCGCAUAGGGACGCAACAAUUGAGGAGAUGUGAGACCAAAAUUCUGGUCAAGGAGGCUGGAACCUAAUUUUUUUUAGAGACUUUAAUGAUUGGGAGUUGGAUAUGGUUGGGAAUUUGCUUCAUAUCUUGAGGGGUCAUAGGCCUUCUUUGGAGGAAGAUUCAAUUAUGUGGAGGCGAGGAAGAAAUGGUCUCUUUAGGGUCAAGGAAGCUUAUAGGCUGCUGGACAACCCUAAUGACAUAGUUUUUCCUUCAAGGAGCAUCUGGGUGGAUGAGGUGCCAACUAAAGUUGCUUUUUUCGCUUAGGAGGCGACGUGGGGGAAGGUGCUCACUCUGGAUAGGCUCCAGAUAAGAGGAGUGCAACUCCCUAAUUAUUGUUUUUUGUGUGGUUGUGAAGAAGAAAAUGUAAAUCAUAUUCUUAUACACUAUAUAGUGGCUAGAGCUAUGUGGGAUAUUAUUCUUGGGUUAGUAGAUGUUAAAUGGGUCUUCCCAAAAACUGUAAAGGAGGUCUUAACUACCUGGAGGGGCCCAUUUGUAGGGAAGAAAAAGAAAAAUGUUUGGAAAUUCAUACUGUUGUGUAUCUUUUGGACGGUUUGGAAUGAGAGGAAUAUGUUAGCUUUUAGGGGGGGGUGUUGAAUAUCCAGAAAUUAAAGAAUUUUUUUGUUUGUAACUUAUGGAGCUAGGCCAAAGUGUAUUUAGGCGAGGAGUCUCUCUCCCUUAUAGACUUUUUGGAGUGGGUAGCAUCCACUUAAAGGGAGGUAGUCCUUUUUUAGGCUUUAACUGCCUUGUAUACUCUGUGGCUUUUAACAUUUUUCUAAUGCAUAUCUUGUUUUCUUAUAAAAAAAAAAAAAUCAUUUUGUUUUGGGGAAUAUGAAACCAUUAAAGGUCAAUGCAUCCUACGAUUUUCAUAAUAUUUUUAAAAUUCUUUUAAUGUGAAUUCAUCUCUUCUAUUAGAUUUCUUUGGUUAUUAUGAUCACUUUCCUUUUCAAUAAGUGUUUUAAAUUUAUUAAAAGCACAAAAUACUUCAAUUUUUUCCUUUAAAAAAUACAUCCAAAAUUUUAUACUAAAAUCAUGAAUGAAAAACAAAAAAUAUUUAUUCUUACAAAAAAAAAAGUUUGAAUGAAUCGGAUCACAUACAUCCGAAUAAAUAAGUUUUAGAGACUUUUUAUUCUUAUACAUGCUUCUUUUGAAAAUUAUUUUUACAGCAUGUUUCUCAAAUAAGCAUCCUUCACAUUAUUCAUUCAUUUUUGGAAAGCAAUUCUCAUAUUUUUUUUGUUCUAACAAUUUUAAUUUAUCAAAAUUAAGAUAUUCAAAUCUUAAAUGUCAAAUCCAAAAGGAAUCAUUGACAUGAGAUUUUAGACAUUUUACAAUAUCAUUUUAUAUAUUUAAAAAAUAACAUUGCAUUUCUUGUCAUAGACAUAUUUACAUGCUAUCUCUUAUUAAAAGACUUUGAUUUUUCAUAUAAAUAUCAGUCUUUUUUUAAAAACUAGCCCAAACUUAAUAUAUUAUUUGUCAUGUUGGGUACAUAACAAAUAAUGUUCAAGAUAAAUCGAUGCAUUCCAUUCUUAUUUUACCUUUGCCUAGAUAUAUAAUAAUUCUUUCCCCACAAAAUGGACUUAACUUUGAACAGUUCCAAAGAUGGGUGAGCCCCAAAAAAAUGGCUAUUUGGACAAACUCUAAGGGUUGUUUGGGCUUGUCCAUUAAUUUGGGACAUGAAACCCACUAAAGGCUAAAGCCAGAAGCAGACUAGUCUUAUCCAAGAAGGUAGAACAUAAAAGUAUAUUACACACAAACGUUAUGGUAAUAGUUAAAAUAAAACUUUUGUUCAAUCACUCUUAAAUCUUACAAAAACCUUAUAAUUUCAGGGUAAUACUUCUUAGGAAGAUCAGUUUUCCCAUCUUCUCUACGCAUACAAUGAAGCUUCCAACCUGAAGAGAGAUACACCAAAGAAGAAGAAAAACAGAGCAGAAAGGCUUUCAUUCAUACUCAAAACUACAAUAUUUAUAAAGAAAUCAUCAGCUUCUAUGUAGAAGCCAAUGACCCAAUAUCAUACCCAGACCAAAUUCACAGAAAUCCCAAUUAGAUCAGCUUAUCUGCAAUUACCCACUCAGAAUCACGGAGAUUUAAGCGAUCUUGACCUCAAUGGUCUUGGGCUUCUUGGGCUCCGGCGGUGGUAGCUUCUCAACGGUGACGGUCAGUACUCCAUCUUGACAAACCGCGGAGAUCUUAUCAGUAUUCGCAUUCUCCGGCAACGCAAACUUCCUCAUAAACUUGCCUACCCUCCUCUCCAUUCUCACGUACUUGACGCCUUCCUUCUCUUCCUCGCGCUUCCUCUCUCCGCUGAUCACCAGCACAUUGUCGUCCUCCACCUGAACCUUGAUGUCGCCGGACUUCAGCCCCGGCAUGUCGACGAUGAAGGUGUAGGAAUUCGGGUACUCCUUGACGUCAGCAGGCGUCGCCGCCAUGGCCUUGGCGUCGCGGACGUAGGUGCGAGUGGGGGCGCUGACGGACUUGUCGGAGUCAUCGGUGGCGUCUAGCAUGUGUUGGAGGGCAGAGAAGAGUGGAGAAUCGAAGCCCAUCAUCCUCGAAUCCAUGUUGGGUGUCAGAGAUUUGUUGGUGUGAGAUUGUGAACAACUGCAAUUGCGAAUGUAGAAGUGCUUGAAUGUUGGAAGAAAUCGGAGGCAGUGAUGUGGAUUUUAUAGAAGACGAGUUGGGAAACAGAGGAAGGUUCUGGAAAGAACAAGAAGAGGAGAAUUGGGGGUUUGUCUUUGUUGGCUCUGCUCCAACGGUUCCAGAACCAGAAGUUUGUGGAAGUUUCUCCUAAAUGACUAAAGUACCCCUUAUUUGUUCAUAAAAAAUUACCUUUUGAAAGAAGUUCCAUUUCUACUUACACAGUAGUUCACAAAUCUUUUAUCAUAUUAUUAUCAACAAGCUAUGGUUUUGAUCAAUGCUUGGUGUAAAUUUUUAUUUUGAUUUUAGAAGAAAAAAAAAGACAUAAUUUUAAAAGGUAUUAUUAUAGUAAAAGUUAAAAUAAAUUUUUUAAAUAAAAUCAUUUUUUAGGAAAUGUUUAAAAAACCAACUUAAUAAUUUAAAGUGAAUUAAUAAUUUAAUUUAAGUUAUUAAGUAAAUUAAGUAUGUUUGGUAAAAUAACUUAAUGAUAUCACUAAAAAUAAAAAUAAAAAUUAAUUUUUAAAUAAAAAUAAUUAACUUAUUCUUAAAUCUAUAUUUUUAUUUUUAUUUACCAUCAUUUAUCCGAAUUAUUCUCAUAAUCUAUUUUACUACUUCAUGAUUUCCAUUGUUACUUAAACUACUUUGUCCUCAUUAUAAUUUAUGAAAAUAAUCAUAUCAAUUUGAUGAUUUACAAUAAAUUUUCAGUUAAUUUUAUUAAACAACCUUAAUAUUUGAAAUGAGAAUUAAGUAAUAAGUUUUAAGACUAAUAAUUUAAGUAUAAUUUAACUUAAAAUCAACUUAAAUAAUUAAAUAAUAAGUAAUAAGUUUUACCAAAUAUCAUUUUAAUAUUGUUCUUAUAAUAAAGUUAGUUAAAUAAAUAUAAGAAUUUUUAUUAAUCAUAUAAUAGAGUUUUUGAACUUAGAUUCACUUCAAUCCAACUUGUGUUUUAUCUUUUAAAAUUUAAAAGUUAAACAUAUCUAAGCAUCAACAAUUUAAAAAAAUUUGCUCUUUAUUUCUAAAUCGUACAUUAAUAAUAAUAGACUAAUCAAUUAUGAGUAUGGAUAAUUUGCCCCUUAUAAAUUGUUGGUUUAAGGGUAUGAAAAAAAGGACUAGUCCAAAGCACACAAAUAAAUAACGUAAUGAAUAGUAAGAAAAAUUUAUAGGUUGAGGUGUAACAAACAUUGUCCUUAAAAUAGAUCAACUCUCCUCGAAGACGAACUUGGUACACUUAGGUACUAGUGGUCCACCUUCAGGAUUCAAUAGUCAUUGAGUGCACUUUGUAAGCGAGACGUGUACAACUCAGGUUCAUGAAAAAUUCGUAUUCAUAUUUAGAGAGUGAUGAGUGAUAUGCUUUUAUGACUAAUAAAAUAAGAUAAAAAAAAAAAAGUAGCAUAGAUCAUCGCACACGUACGCAAAGGGCCUUCCACGCAAGAUGCAUGUGGGGAUCGAAGCCCCACUCAAAUGGGUUUGGCCCCAAUGGGCGCGCAAGACUCACCCACACCUCUUCACAAGCCCAUUGGGCUAAGGAAGGUUAAUAAACCCAUUAAAGAUGUUCAUCUCUUUCCUAUGUCGACAAGCAAAAAAUACUUUUCACAUUUACACUCUUCCUGCUAUGCAAGUCAAGUUGGGUACAUUUUGUUUGGAUUGAACAAGGUGUAGAAGGAUUAAAUAGAAGUACAUCAUUGAUGAUAAUAUUGCUUAAAUUUAUUUAAAGUCUUUAAUAACUUUUCAGCUUUGUAACUUCAUUAUUCUAAUACCAGUCAUUACAUUUGAUCAUUUUCAAAGAGAACAACUCUUCCCUGAGACAAAUAUGGUGUCACUCUCCCAAUCUAAAUUACAAAUUUAGAUUAUCAAAUUCCCUACCCAAAAUCUAAUCUUCCCAAUUUAAAAAAGACUUGUAGUGAAGUUGUCAACCAGAGGAAAUACCACACCUUACUAUGGCUUUUUAAUUGCCGUUAAAUCUUAAAAAUUUUCCAGGAAAAAUGAAAACGAGGCAAGGAAGAGAAAAGGCAGACUUCAUUGACGGUACUGAAAAAUCAAAACUACACAUUAUACUGUAAUGAAGAGAUCAGUAUCUUCAUCACCCCAAGCCAUUGACCCAAGAUCAAACCCAAACAAAGGCCCCUGUGGCAUUAUUUACUAUUAAAAACCCAGAAAAACCCUCCCAAAACCCCCUACAUUUCAAGCAAUUUUGACCUCAAUGGUCUUGGGCUUCUUGGGCUCCGGCGGUGGCAGCUUCUCAACGGUGACGGUCAACACCCCAUCUUGACAUACAGCAGAGAUCUUAUCAGUAUUCGCAUUCUCCGGCAACACGAACUUCCUCAUAAACUUCCCCACUCUCCUCUCCAUUCUUACGUACUUGGCACCUUCCUUCUCCUCCUCCCGCUUCCUCUCUCCGCUGAUCACCAGCACAUUGCCGUCCUCCACCUGAACCUUGAUGUCGCCGGACCUCAGCCCCGGCAUGUCGACGAUGAAGGUGUAGGAAUUCGGGUACUCCUUGACGUCAGCCGGCGUCGCCGCCAUGGCCUUGGCGUCCCGGACGUAGGUGCGGGUGGGAGCGUUGAGAGACUUGUCGGAAUCGUCGCCGGCGUCGAGCAUGUGUUGGAGGGUUGAGAAGAGUGGAGAAUCAAAACCCAUGACCCUCAAAUCCAUUUUGCUUUUCAGCGAUUAGUCUCUGAGAUCUGCUAAGAUUUGU